rnacentral:rRNA from 1 species
UACGUAGGUGGCAAGCGAUACUCGGAACCACUAGGCGUAAAGCGCAGGUAGGAGGUUUGGUAAGUCUAUUGUGAAAGCUCCCGGCUUAACUGGGAGAGGUCAAUGGAAACUACCAGGCUAGAGUGCGGUAGAGGUAGCUGGAAUUCCCGGUGUAGCGGUGAAAUGCGUAGAUAUCGGGAGGAAUACCUAUGGCGAAAGCAGGCUACUGGACCGUCACUGACUCUGAUCUGCGAAAGCUAGGGGAGCAAACAGG